ensembl:piRNA 21ur-4721 ncRNA
UAAUAGGAAGUACUCAAAUAC